rnacentral:rRNA from 1 species
UAAAUACUAGUAGGAUUUAAUUGAUUAUUUGAAUAAAGUUUUAAGUACAUAUUGAUAAUGACGGUAUGUAUAGAAUGGUCUUGACCAACCACGUGCCAGCAGUCGCGGUAAUACGUGGGAGACUAGCAUUAUUCAUCUUAAUUAGGUUUAAAGGGUACUCAAACGGUCAAAAUAUCCGAACCAGGUAAUACUUGACUAGAGUUUUAUAUAAGAAGACAGAACCUAGAGUGGAGAGAUAAAAUUCGUUGAUACCAAGGGGACUGGUAAAGGCGAAGGCAGUCUUUUAUGUAAAAACUGACGUUGAAGGACGAAGGCAUCGAAAACAAAAAGGAUUUGAUACCCUAGUAGUCUUUGCAGACAAUGCUGAAUGCCAUAGGUUAGAUAAAAAUUUUAGUCUAUAAAUGAAAAUGAAAGCAUUUCACCUCAAGAGUAAUGUGGCAACGCAGGAACUGAAAUCAC